AGGCAGUCGGAUAGCCGCGCCCGAGAACGGAAAAUCUCAGGGUGAGGAAAGUCCGAGCAUCAUAGGAACAAAACACCGGAUAACGUCCGGCUGGAGAAAUCCACGGGAAAGUGCCACAGAAAAUUACCGCCCGAAUAUUUUUUUCGGGUAAGGUUGAAAAGGCGAGGUAAGAGCUCACCGCGGCGGCUGCAAAGUCUCCGGCAAGGUAAACCCUGUUUGAUGCAAGACCAAGUUAGGGAAGUAUCGCUUUAGUCGAUAUUUUUCGGAGGGUUCCUAAUCCGUCCCAGAGGUAGGUCGCGACAAGCCGAACGGCAACGUUCGGAUUAGAUGAAUGGCUAUCGCCCGCGUUCGCGCGGGUACAGAACUCGGCUUAUAGACUGCCUUA
rnacentral:RNase_P_RNA from 1 species